GAUGAACGCUGGCGGCGUGCCUAAUACAUGCAAGUCGAGCGAACAGACGAGGAGCUUGCGCGGUGCACGUGAGCGGCGCGGGUGAGUGUAACGCGUGUAUAACCUACUUGUAUUACUGGUAUAAUUUCGGGACUGCGGAGCUAACACCGUAGAAUAUAUUGAACCGCAGUGGUCGAUAGUGAGAGACGGUUUUUCUGGCACGUAUAGAGGGAUCUGCGCCGCAUUAGGUAGUUGUUAAGGUAACGGCUUACCAAGGCAACGAUGCGUAGCCGAACGGAGAGGGUGAUAGGCCACAUGGGAACUGAGCCGCGGACAAGACUCCUACGGGAGGCAGCAGUCGGGAAUCGUCCGCAGUGGGCGAAAGCUUGACGGAGCAACGCCACGUGAGUGAUGACGGUCUUCGGAUCGUAAAGCUCUGUUAUUAGGGAAGAACCACUGUGUAAGUAACUAUGCACGUAGUGACGGUACCUAAUCAGAAAGCCCCGGCUAACUACGUG
rnacentral:rRNA from 1 species